GAUGAACGCUGGCGGCGUGCCUAAUACAUGCAAGUCGAGCGAACAGACGAGGAGCUUGCUCCUCUGACGUUAGCGGCGGACGGGUGAGUAACACGUGGAUAACCUACCUAUAAGACUGGGAUCACUUCGGGAAACCGGAGCUAAUACCGGAUAAUAUAUUGAACCGCAUGGUUCAAUAGUGAAAGACGGUUUUGCUGUCACUUAUAGAUGGAUCCGCGCCGCAUUAGCUAGUUGGUAAGGUAACGGCUUACCAAGGCAACGAUGCGUAGCCGACCUGAGAGGGUGGUCGGCCACACUGGAACUGAGACACGGUCCAGACUCCUACGAGAGGCAGCAGUAGGGAAUCUUCCGCAAUGGGCGGAAGCCUGACGGAGCAACGCCGCGUGAGUGAUGAAGGUCUUCGGAUCGUAAAACUCUGUUAUUAGGGAAGAACAAAUGUGUAAGUAACUAUACACGUCUUGACGGUACCUAGUCAGAAAGCCACGGCUAACUACGUG
rnacentral:rRNA from 1 species